CCGAAGAAUUAAUUGGUGACUUAUUACCAUUAAGCCAACUAAGCUCAACACGCUAUUGAGGAUCAGCUCGAUAGCAUAAUGGAGAAAAGCAUAUAUCUACCAAUCAGUGUGGGCCUAAAAUUAGCCAUCACUCUAAGUUUGUUAUAAAAUAACUUAACAUCUAGAUUUAAAUAAAAUUGCUUUAUUCCCACCUAAAAUGAAGAUAAAAUUUAUAACCAGCUUUUAUUUAUGCCUAUGCUAGGAUGAGUAUUAAAAAUUCUUUUUAAAACUUGCACUAUUAUAUUUGCAAGUUACUGAUAAAUAUUAAAAACAUUAAUUAAAAAAAAGGAACUCGGCAAAUUGUGCUGCUCCGCCUGUUUAUCAAAAACAUGGUUCCUUGAUUAAUAAAAAUGAGGAAUCAGGCCUGCCCAGUGAAAUUUUAACGGCCGCGGUACUCUGACCGUGCAAAGGUAGCAUAAUCAUUUGCCUUAUAAUUGAAGGCUAGUAUGAAUGGUUUGACGUGAGCAGCGCUGUCUACUUUUAUAUUUUCUAUAAAUUAACCUUUAGGUGAAGAGGCCUAAAUUUAAUUAAAGGACAAGAAGACCCUGUCGAGCUUAAAAGCUUAAAAAGAAAUCAUUAUUAACAAAAUUUAUCUCUUUUGUAACUUUUUAGUUGGGGCGACUAAGGAACAAAUAAAGCUUCUUCCACCAAAACAGCCAAUAAGCCAAGAUCCAGUUUACUGAGCAAAAAAAUUAGUUACCGCAGGGAUAACAGCAUAAUCUUCCUUGAGAGACCAAAUCGAAAGGGAGGGUUGUGACCUCGAUGUUGGACUAGAAUAUCCUGAAGAUGCAGACGUCUUUAAGGGUUGGUCUGUUCGACCAUGAAAAUUCU
rnacentral:rRNA from 1 species